UACGUAGGGGGCAAGCGUUGUCCGGAGUUACUGGGCGUAAAGCGCACGCAGGCGGUCUUUUAAGUUUGGAGUGACAGUUGGUGGCUUAACUGCCAAAGUGCUUCGAAAACUGAAAGACUUGAGGGCUUCAGAGGGACACGGAAUUCCGGGUGGAGUGGUGAAAUGCGUAGAGAUCCGGAGGAACACCAGUGGCGAAGGCGGCUCUCUGGAACGCAACUGACGCUGAGACGCGAAAGCGUGGGGAGCAAACAGG
rnacentral:rRNA from 1 species